UACGGAGGAUCCGAGCGUUGUCCGGAUUUAUUGGGUUUAAAGGGUGCGUAGGCGGUUUUAUAAGUCAGUGGUUAAAGACUCUCGCUCAACGAGAGGGAUGCCAUUGAUACUGUAGAACUUGAGUACUGUAGAGGUAGGCGGAAUUGGUAGUGUAGCGGUGAAAUGCAUAGAUACUACCAGGAACACCGAUUGCGAAGGCGAGCUUACUGG
rnacentral:rRNA from 1 species